GAUCCCAUGCCCGAGUCUGGUCAGGGAACCGCCUGCAAAGCGGUCUACGCCGGUUCGAAUCCGGCUGGGGUCU
rnacentral:tRNA from 1 species